UACGUAGGGUGCAAGCGUUAAUCGGAAUUACUGGGCGUAAAGCGUGCGCAGGCGGUAAUGUAAGACAGUUGUGAAAUCCCCGGGCUCAACCUGGGAACUGCAUCUGUGACUGCAUUGCUGGAGUACGGCAGAGGGGGAUGGAAUUCCGCGUGUAGCAGUGAAAUGCGUAGAUAUGCGGAGGAACACCGAUGGCGAAGGCAAUCCCCUGGGCCUGUACUGACGCUCAUGCACGAAAGCGUGUGGAGCAAAUAGG
rnacentral:rRNA from 1 species